GGCUUGUUGGCGUAAUGGUAACGCGUUCUGUGUUCCUAUAUGGAGUGUUCGCAUAUCGUUCAAUGGAAAGUCCGGAGUUCGAUUCUCCGUCAAGCCA